rnacentral:rRNA from 1 species
CGUAAAGCGCAUGCAGGUGGUUUGUUUAAGUCAGAUGUGAAAGCCCCGGGGCUCAACCUCGGAAUAGCAUUUGAAACUGGCAGACUAGAGUACUGUAGAGGGGGGUAGGAAUUUCAGGUGUAGCGGUGAAAUGCGUAGAGAUCUGAAGGAAUACCGGUGGCGAAGGCGGCCCCCUCGGACAGAUACUGACACUCAGAUGCGAAAGCGUGGGGAGCAAACAGGAUUAGAUACCCCUGGUAG